UUGCAUUUGUCCUUCUGAAUUGCAUUUGCCCUUCUGGAACUGUGUAACAGAACAGAAAGAGAUUCUCUAAGCUCCAUCCUGUAAAAGUAAACAGCAAGCUCAUUCUGGGAAAAGUUCAACCAUCUUGUCAAGUUGUUGUGAAUAUUGCAAGACCUUUACAAGAAUUGAAAUAUUGUAUAUCUGUUCCAAGGAGUAAGAUGGGUGUGGCUCAUUGACAGAGCUCAGAGUUAAGUAGGGAAAACAACCUUGGUGCUGGUGGCAUGUUGCUAGCAGUGGAUGCAUUGAAAGGAGAAGUCCGGCUGUUGGGAAAAUGAUAAAAAGGUUUGAGAUUCUCUUCUAAAAGAAGUUCAGUGUCUGUUUUUACUCUGCCAGUGCAGAAAACUUGGUUGCUCCAAAAGAGAUGAAAUCUGGAACCUCAGAAUGGAGAGAUUGACUAUCUCCCAGUGUGGCUGACUGAGUAUGUUUUAAAUUGCAGAUGGUUCUGUACAGAGCUUUGACCUUAUUCAAGGCAAAGGAUGGCUCCAUCACAACUGGAGCAGAGGCCAGCUCAGUUUGGUGCAUCCUGGUCUAGCUCAAAGACUAUUUAUGUAGGGAGGGCAAACAUUGAUGAUCCCUUCAAGCUUUUUAUGAAAUGUCCUCUUUUAUAAACAUGGCACUUAGAGAAGGAAGGAGGAAUGUUUGCCUUUUUUUUUUUUAGUAGGAUCCCUUUUUUUGUGACUUCUUUAUAUGGGCAUCUGUUGAAUACCUUGUGGUUAGCCACUAUCGGAUUCUGAACUUGGUCCAUCAUCCUGGCUUUGACAUUUGGCAAUGGGAUCUGAGGUUUCAUAUUUAGCUGCCUAUUUCCACCCUUACCUCAUCCGCACUUAAGCUGAUCCCCUUUGCACAUCUAAGGUGCUGCUGCUGUUUCCAAUUUUUGCAUGCUCUGUGUUUUAAAUCUUAAGACUCUAUUGGGUCACCAGAAUUAAGUGUGAUGGGUGAGCCUGACUGAUGAAAGCAGUGGAGAGGAGAGUCUUCAUGGGUGAAGUAGUGAAGAAGGUGAUUUGGAAAGGCUAGUUAAAUUUCGGGGGGCGGGUCUGUCUUAAAGUACCACAGCAAGCGCAGUUGUUUGGAGAAUAUGCCCUAUACCAUCUCCUCAAAUCAUGAACAGGAAGAAUGCUCAAAGCAACAAUUUAGUUGUGUAAACUGGAGGAAGAAAAUUGAGUGGCAAACGAGGUAAGGGAGGGGUGAACAAUGCCACCAGAAGACGCCUUUCCUUUGGAUAAAAGGAUACUAAACCUAAAAUAGUAAAAACAGGUGAGAGAGGAUCAAAGAGAGAAACAGAAAAGGUGGAAAUGAUUUAUUUCAAUUUGACAGCAGUCAGCCUGGAGUGAGAGACUGCCUGAUCAGAUGCCAAGAGAACUGGACAACUUGGGUCAGCCAUCUAGGAAGGUUCCCAAAUUUCAGCCAAUGAAAAUACAGGAAGGGAAUUGCUAUGUUAGGAUUUGUCCUUGGGCAUGUAGACUAUAUUCUGUAAUUAAAGAUGAUCAUCUUUCCUGCCUAGUUCAAUGUCUCCCGCUCC